GUUAUCGAGGAACUAUUGGACGAAUUACACGGAGCAGCCUGGUUUUCCAAGUUGGAUUUACGUGCGGGGUACCAUCAGAUUAGACUCGCGCCGGGGGAAGAGUACAAAACAGCGUUCUCUACCCACCAGGGACAUUUUGAGUUCAAGGUGUUAUCAUUUGGAUUAACAGGGGCCCCACCUACCUUCAUUGAAGGGUUAACCACAACUCUUAAGCCAGUCAUAAGAGUCUAUGUCCUCUGUUUCUUCGAUGACAUCUUAAUCUUCAGUACUUCUUUGGAAGAGCACAAGUGCCAUGUGAGGCAGGUGCUGGAGUUGCUGCGCAAGGACCAAUGGAAAGUAAAAUACAGUAAGUGUGCUUUUGGGCAA
rnacentral:rRNA from 1 species